AUUGAACGCUAGCGGGAUGCCUUACACAUGCAAGUCGAACGGCGUGGCGAACGGGUGAGUAAUGUAUCGGAAAGUGCCCAGUAGCGGGGGAUAACUACGCGAAAGCGUAGCUAAUACCGCAUACUAUUGAAGCGGCCGAUAGCGGAUUAGCUUGUUGGUGAGGUAACGGCGCACCAAGGCGACGAUCCGUAGCUGGUUUAAGAGGACGACCAGCAACACUGUGACUGAGACACGGCCCAGACUCCUACGGGAGGAAGCAGUGGGGAAUGUUGGACAAUGGGGGAAACCCUGAUCCAGCCAUCCCGCGUGUGUGAUGAAGGCCUUCGGGUUGUAAAGCACUUUUGGCAGGAAAGCGGUACCUGCAGAAUAAGCACCGGCUAACUACGUGCCAGCAGCCGCGGUAAUAC
rnacentral:rRNA from 1 species